rnacentral:rRNA from 1 species
GACGAACGCUGGCGGCGUGCUUAACACAUGCAAGUCGAACGGAAAGGCCCUGCUUUUGCGGGGUGCUCGAGUGGCGAACGGGUGAGUAACACGUGAGUAACCUGCCCUUGACUUUGGGAUAACUUCAGGAAACUGGGGCUAAUACCGGAUAGGAGCUCCUGCUGCAUGGUGGGGGUUGGAAAGUUUCGGCGGUUGGGGAUGGACUCGCGGCUUAUCAGCUUGUUGGUGGGGUAGUGGCUUACCAAGGCUUUGACGGGUAGCCGGCCUGAGAGGGUGACCGGCCACAUUGGGACUGAGAUACGGCCCAGACUCCUACGGGAGGCAGCAGUGGGGAAUAUUGCACAAUGGGCGGAAGCCUGAUGCAGCAACGCCGCGUGCGGGAUGACGGCCUUCGGGUUGUAAACCGCUUUCGCCUGUGACGAAGCGUGAGUGACGGUAAUGGUAAAGAAGCACCGGCUAACUACGUG